rnacentral:lncRNA from 1 species
AUCCAAAUAACUAAAAUACAAUUAAUAUUUAUUACGACGUACAACCAUCCAAAUAAAAGUUCACCCAAAUACAAUUAAUUCGGUUAUCCAUUGUCAAAAAACUUGAAAAUUAAUAAACUUGUAGCAGCUACAUGACUAAUUCAUCGGACACUGCAUCUGAAAAGCAGUCUGGGAAAUGCUAGCAAAUCGCAACUCAAUUUCUGUCAAUUUUUCUUGACUGCAGAUAGUUGAAUAGCCCUGAAUUCGAAGUGGUAUGACUGGUAUCAAAACUCAAUUAAGACAAUUAUCAAAUCACUGCUGCGUUGCUUAAUUCUGCAAGUAAAUAAUUCAAACAAUAAAGACAAUUUUGAAACACAUGAGAAACACCACACUAUUUUUCUUAAUCUUUACAGAAAGUAUAAGACAAUAUCAGAGACAAGGGAGUACUUUCUCUCUCAUUUUUCCUGUAAACCUAUUCUAAGGUUUGGGGGAUUCUAGAGAAUCAUUUAAGACCUGAAGCUAAAGAUCAAAUGAGUAGAAGACCAUGUUUGAAGCUAAACAAGAACAAAAGGAUAGAUGAAAACCUAGAAUCAAACAGAAGAAGUGCACCUCCAGGGAAAGAAAAGGCAUAUGAAAAACUCAGGUUGUUGAGUAAUGAGGUGAAGAAAGCUAUUUAUGUACCUGACACAAGAUAUGUACUCCAUGAUCUUGAUGAAGAAACAAAAGAGAGAGCCUUGCUUUAUCACAGUGAAAGACUAGUCAUAGCUUAUGGGCAUCUCAGUACACCUGCAAGAACCACAUUGCGGAUCAUAAAGAGGUUUCAUCAUUUUAGGGAUGGGAAGUGCUCUUGUGGAGACUUCUGGUAGAACAUGAAUGUGUCGCGUUAUAGGUAUUCAGCUGCCCACUUCUUUUAGUCACAUAUCAUGUAAUUGCAGUG